rnacentral:rRNA from 1 species
UUAAGCGACUAAGCGUACACGGUGGAUGCCCUGGCAGUCAGAGGCGAUGAAGGACGUGCUAAUCUGCGAUAAGCGUCGGUAAGGUGAUAUGAACCGUUAUAACCGGCGAUUUCCGAAUGGGGAAACCCAGUGUGUUUCGACACACUAUCAUUAACUGAAUCCAUAGGUUAAUGAGGCGAACCGGGGGAACUGAAACAUCUAAGUACCCCGAGGAAAAGAAAUCAACCGAGAUUCCCCCAGUAGCGGCGAGCGAACGGGGAGCAGCCCAGAGCCUGAAUCAGUGUGUGUGUUAGUGGAAGCGUCUGGAAAGGCGCGCGAUACAGGGUGACAGCCCCGUACACAAAAAUGCACAUGCUGUGAGCUCGAUGAGUAGGGCGGGACACGUGGUAUCCUGUCUGAAUAUGGGGGGACCAUCCUCCAAGGCUAAAUACUCCUGACUGACCGAUAGUGAACCAGUACCGUGAGGGAAAGGCGAAAAGAACCCCGGCGAGGGGAGUGAAAAAGAACCUGAAACCGUGUACGUACAAGCAGUGGGAGCACGCUUAGGCGUGUGACUGCGUACCUUUUGUAUAAUGGGUCAGCGACUUAUAUUCUGUAGCAAGGUUAACCGAAUAGGGGAGCCGAAGGGAAACCGAGUCUUAACUGGGCGUUAAGUUGCAGGGUAUAGACCCGAAACCCGGUGAUCUAGCCAUGGGCAGGUUGAAGGUUGGGUAACACUAACUGGAGGACCGAACCGACUAAUGUUGAAAAAUUAGCGGAUGACUUGUGGCUGGGGGUGAAAGGCCAAUCAAACCGGGAGAUAGCUGGUUCUCCCCGAAAGCUAUUUAGGUAGCGCCUCGUGAAUUCAUCUCCGGGGGUAGAGCACUGUUUCGGCAAGGGGGUCAUCCCGACUUACCAACCCGAUGCAAACUGCGAAUACCGGAGAAUGUUAUCACGGGAGACACACGGCGGGUGCUAACGUCCGUCGUGAAGAGGGAAACAACCCAGACCGCCAGCUAAGGUCCCAAAGUCAUGGUUAAGUGGGAAACGAUGUGGGAAGGCCCAGACAGCCAGGAUGUUGGCUUAGAAGCAGCCAUCAUUUAAAGAAAGCGUAAUAGCUCACUGGUCGAGUCGGCCUGCGCGGAAGAUGUAACGGGGCUAAACCAUGCACCGAAGCUGCGGCAGCGACGCUGAUGCGUUGUUGGGUAGGGGAGCGUUCUGUAAGCCUGCGAAGGUGUGCUGUGAGGCAUGCUGGAGGUAUCAGAAGUGCGAAUGCUGACAUAAGUAACGAUAAAGCGGGUGAAAAGCCCGCUCGCCGGAAGACCAAGGGUUCCUGUCCAACGUUAAUCGGGGCAGGGUGAGUCGACCCCUAAGGCGAGGCCGAAAGGCGUAGUCGAUGGGAAACAGGUUAAUAUUCCUGUACUUGGUGUUACUGCGAAGGGGGGACGGAGAAGGCUAUGUUGGCCGGGCGACGGUUGUCCCGGUUUAAGCGUGUAGGCUGGUUUUCCAGGCAAAUCCGGAAAAUCAAGGCUGAGGCGUGAUGACGAGGCACUACGGUGCUGAAGCAACAAAUGCCCUGCUUCCAGGAAAAGCCUCUAAGCAUCAGGUAACAUCAAAUCGUACCCCAAACCGACACAGGUGGUCAGGUAGAGAAUACCAAGGCGCUUGAGAGAACUCGGGUGAAGGAACUAGGCAAAAUGGUGCCGUAACUUCGGGAGAAGGCACGCUGAUAUGUAGGUGAGGUCCCUCGCGGAUGGAGCUGAAAUCAGUCGAAGAUACCAGCUGGCUGCAACUGUUUAUUAAAAACACAGCACUGUGCAAACACGAAAGUGGACGUAUACGGUGUGACGCCUGCCCGGUGCCGGAAGGUUAAUUGAUGGGGUCAGCGCAAGCGAAGCUCUUGAUCGAAGCCCCGGUAAACGGCGGCCGUAACUAUAACGGUCCUAAGGUAGCGAAAUUCCUUGUCGGGUAAGUUCCGACCUGCACGAAUGGCGUAAUGAUGGCCAGGCUGUCUCCACCCGAGACUCAGUGAAAUUGAACUCGCUGUGAAGAUGCAGUGUACCCGCGGCAAGACGGAAAGACCCCGUGAACCUUUACUAUAGCUUGACACUGAACAUUGAGCCUUGAUGUGUAGGAUAGGUGGGAGGCUUUGAAGUGUGGACGCCAGUCUGCAUGGAGCCGACCUUGAAAUACCACCCUUUAAUGUUUGAUGUUCUAACGUUGACCCGUAAUCCGGGUUGCGGACAGUGUCUGGUGGGUAGUUUGACUGGGGCGGUCUCCUCCUAAAGAGUAACGGAGGAGCACGAAGGUUGGCUAAUCCUGGUCGGACAUCAGGAGGUUAGUGCAAUGGCAUAAGCCAGCUUGACUGCGAGCGUGACGGCGCGAGCAGGUGCGAAAGCAGGUCAUAGUGAUCCGGUGGUUCUGAAUGGAAGGGCCAUCGCUCAACGGAUAAAAGGUACUCCGGGGAUAACAGGCUGAUACCGCCCAAGAGUUCAUAUCGACGGCGGUGUUUGGCACCUCGAUGUCGGCUCAUCACAUCCUGGGGCUGAAGUAGGUCCCAAGGGUAUGGCUGUUCGCCAUUUAAAGUGGUACGCGAGCUGGGUUUAGAACGUCGUGAGACAGUUCGGUCCCUAUCUGCCGUGGGCGCUGGAGAACUGAGGGGGGCUGCUCCUAGUACGAGAGGACCGGAGUGGACGCAUCACUGGUGUUCGGGUUGUCAUGCCAAUGGCACUGCCCGGUAGCUAAAUGCGGAAGAGAUAAGUGCUGAAAGCAUCUAAGCACGAAACUUGCCCCGAGAUGAGUUCUCCCUGACCCUUUAAGGGUCCUGAAGGAACGUUGAAGACGACGACGUUGAUAGGCCGGGUGUGUAAGCGCAGCGAUGCGUUGAGCUAACCGGUACUAAUGAACCGUGAGGCUUAACCU